rnacentral:rRNA from 1 species
UACGAAGGGGGCUAGCGUUGCUCGGAAUCACUGGGCGUAAAGCGCACGUAGGCGGACUCUUAAGUCGGUGGUGAAAUCCUGGAGCUCAACUCCAGAACUGCCUUCGAUACUGAGAGUCUUGAGUCCGGGAGAGGUGAGUGGAACUGCGAGUGUUAGAGGUGAAAUUCGUAGAUAUUCGCAAGAACACCAGUGGCGAAGCGGCUCACUGGCCCGGUACUGAC